rnacentral:rRNA from 1 species
UACGUAGGGUGCGAGCGUUAAUCGGAAUUACUGGGCGUAAAGCGUGCGUAGGCGGUUGGCAAAGUCAGCUGUGAAAGCCCCGGGCUUAACCUGGGAAUGGCGGUUGAAACUAGUCGACUAGAAUCUGGCAGAGGGGGGUGGAAUUCCACGUGUAGCAGUGAAAUGCGUAGAGAUGUGGAGGAACACCGAUGGCGAAGGCGGCUUCCUGGCCUGUUCUUGACGCUGAGGCGCGAAAGCUAGGGGAGCAAACGGG